GUCCUUCAUUUUCAUUAUGUUCUGUGCAAUUUUUUUCAGCCCUUGGAUGAUGCCAGCCUUACUGAGCUAAAGAGUGCUCUGAAUGGAUUCUUGGCUAAAGGAGAGGUCUUGAAACUGGAGACCAAGACCGAUCCCUCAGUCCUUGGUGGAAUGAUUGUCAAUAUUGGGGAGAAAUACGUGGAUAUGUCAACAAGGUCAAAGAUCCAGAAACUGACCCAAAUAAUGAAAGAGACUGUCUAGCAAGCUGUCCUCUUUGUUCACAGCGAAACCUGUCACAUGGAAACAAUAAAAUUAUUCUUCUU